rnacentral:rRNA from 1 species
GAUCCCCCACACUGGUACUGAGACACGGACCAGACUCCUACGGGAGGCAGCAGUGAGGAAUAUUGGGCAAUGGGCGAAAGCCUGACCCAGCCAUGCCGCGUGAAGGAUGAAUGCCCUACGGGUUGUAAACUUCUUUUGUACGGGACGAAACUUCCGAUCGUGAUCGGAAUUGACUGUACCGUUCGAAUAAGCAUCGGCUAACUCCGUGCCAGCAGCCGCGGUAAUACGGAGGAUGCAAGCGUUAUCCGGAUUCAUUGGGUUUAAAGGGUGCGUAGGCGGAAUAGUAAGUCAGUGGUGAAAGCCUGCGGCUUAACCGUAGAAUUGCCAUUGAUACUGUUAUUCUUGAGUUCAGUUGAGGUGGGCGGAAUGUGUAAUGUAGCGGUGAAAUGCAUAGAUAUUACACAGAACACCAAUUGCGAAGGCAGCUCACUAAACUGUCACUGACGCUGAGGCACGAAAGCGUGGGGAGCAAACAGGAUUAGAUACCCUGGUAGUCCACGCUGUAAACGAUGAUCACUCGUUGUUGGCGAUAUACCGUCAGCGACUGAGCGAAAGCAUUAAGUGAUCCACCUGGGGAGUACGGCGGCAACGCUGAAACUCAAAGAAAUUGACGGGGGCCCGCACAAGCGGAGGAACAUGUGGUUUAAUUCGAUGAUACGCGAGGAACCUUACCUGGGCUUGAAAUGGGGAACGUCCUCCCGGGAAACCGGGAUUCUCUUCGGAGCGUUCUCCUAGGUGCUGCAUGGUUGUCGUCAGCUCGUGCCGUGAGGUGUCGGGUUAAGUCCCAUAACGAGCGCAACCCUUAUUGUUAGUUGCCAGCGGGUAAUGCCGGGAACUCUAACGAAACUGCCGGUGUAAACCGAGGGGAAGGUGGGGAUGACGUCAAAUCAGCACGGCCCUUAUGUCCAGGGCUACACACGUGUUACAAUGGCCGGUACAAAGGGCAGCUACUUGGUGACAAGAUGCUAAUCUCCAAAACCGGUCUCAGUUCGGAUCGAAGUCUGCAACUCGACUUCGUGAAGUUGGAUUCGCUAGUAAUCGCGCAUCAGCAACGGCGCGGUGAAUACGUUCCCGGGCCUUGUACACACCGCCCGUCAAGCCAUGGAAGCUGGGAGUACCUGAAGUCUGUAACCGCAAGGAGCGGCCUAGGGUAAAACCAGUGACU